GAUGCCUAGUUCAGUUUGAAUUUUAGAUAAACAACCAUUUCUUAGCAUAAGUAUUCCAUACUUAGCAAAUAUUCCAUACUUGGGAUAUACUUAUGCUAAAAAAUUAUUUCCUGUUUAUCUGGUAUU
rnacentral:miRNA from 1 species